ensembl:snRNA U6 U6 spliceosomal RNA
GUGCUUGCUUUGACAGCACAUAUACUAAAAUUGGAAUGACAGCCAGAAGAUUAGCAUGGCUCCUGUGUAAGGAUGACAUGCAAAUUUGUAAAGCACUACAUAUUUAU